rnacentral:rRNA from 1 species
CCUACGGGUGGCAGCAGUGGGGAAUAUCGCACAAUGGGGGAAACCCUGAUGCAGCAACGCCGCGUGAGUGAGGCAGUAUUUCGGUAUGUACAGCUCUAUCAGCAGGGAAUAGAAAAGAAGGUAACUGAAAAGAAGCCCCGGCUAACUACGUGCCAGCAGCCGCGGGAAUACGUAUGGGGCAAUCGUUCUGCGGAUUUACUGGGUGUACAGGGAGAGUAGACGGAAAGGCAAGUCAGAAGUGAAAGCCCAAGGCUCAACCAUGGGACUGCUUUUGAAACUGUCAAACUAGAGUACGGGAGAGGUAAGAGGAAUUCCUAGUGUAGCGGUGAAAUGCGUAGAUAUUAGGAGGAACACCAGUGGCGAAGGCGUCUUACUGGACCGAAACUGACGUUGAGGCUCGAAAGCGUGGGGAGCAAACAGGAUUAGAUACCCUGGUAGUC